rnacentral:rRNA from 1 species
GACGAACGCUGGCGGCGUGCUUAACACAUGCAAGUCGAACGGAAAGGCCUUUUCGGAGGUACUCGAGUGGCGAACGGGUGAGUAACACGUGGGUGAUCUGCCCUGCACUCUGGGAUAAGCCUGGGAAACUGGGUCUAAUACCGGAUAGGACCGCACUUUAGUGUGUGUGGUGGAAAGUUUUUUCGGUGUAGGAUGAGCCCGCGGCCUAUCAGCUUGUUGGUGGGGUAAUGGCCUACCAAGGCGGCGACGGGUAGCCGGACUGAGGGGUUGGUCGGCCACAUUGGGGCUGAGAUACGGCCCAGACUCCUACGGGGGGCAGCAGUGGGGAAUAUUGCACAAUGGGCGCAAGCCUGAUGCAGCGACGCCGCGUGGGGGAUGACGGCCUUCGGGUUGUAAACUCCUUUCGCCAGGGACGAAGCGUUUUGUGACGGUACCUGGAGAAGAAGCACCGGCUAACUACGUG